GGAAACACCCUGUGGAGACUCUGGGACUUGCCAGGAAAAGCUACUCUCCGGGAAUCUAUUCUGCUCUAACUUCCUCUCCUGAGUCCAAUGGCUGGAAGCCUUCAUUCCUGACUUCCUUGCUCGCUCACUGUCUUUCUUCUCUUUUCAUAAUUUCCUCCUCCACCUCAAGAGGCUCCAGCCCUGAAGCCAUGCACGACUGUAGCUCCUAUCUUUGGGGUUUGGUCCAAUACCCCAUUUUUCAAAGGCAUGGGAGUCCGGCUCUUUUCAGAGUUGGUCUGGAUCACAGAGCUGUGAUGAGAAAAGUGCAUCAUGGGUGCGGAACUUCAGGGGGGAAGGAUAAUGAGUUUGUUGUGACGUGGUUAUUUUCUUAGAUCGUACAACCAACGUGGUAAUGCUGGCAUAAUAAUUCCCGGUUGCCAUUUUCUGACAUUUGAAAAGAUCUGAAGAUACGCCCCUUGGAUGCCUGCAGAGAAGCUCUGGGGCUUCAGUCAAUGACUCAGGGUAGCCACCGAACAUGAUGCUCGGGCAGUGGGUGCCACCUGGACUCCACUCUCCCCUCUCUCUGGGAUCAUAGAGUCCAAGGUGUUCUGUGGCCUCUCGGCCAAUCCCAGCAGCUCAGCGUGCAGAAGACCGAGGAGCCAUUGGAAUUCAACACAACACGAAAUAAUCAACAAAUUCGGGGAAUGUUAAUCUGACCAUCACCAGUUACAAAUGAUGUUUCAUGCUACCUUCUAUUCCUGCCUUCAUAAAUCAAGGAAAAGAAAAAGAGAACAUAUAUCCCCCUACCUUUUGAUUUCCAACAGUCUACUGAGAGGCCAAGAUUAUUUGCAGGGAAAGAAAAGGGGUCAAAAUGUUUUGCCAGUAACUCCCAAAUCAUCUACAGCCAAGGAGAAAAGUGUUUCAAGACAGAGGUGCUCAAUGGUAUCAAAUACUGCCAACAGACCAAGUAAUACAUGCAUUGAAGUGUCUACUGGAUCUAGCUAUAUGAAUUUUUAAUUUAGGACACUUAGGCCAUACUGAAGCAAGGUGACAAAAUGAAUAGCUACAAUGUCUCGUGAAUCUUGGGUUUCCAUUCACCCUGGUAUUCAAGAGAAAUUCUUGCAUCAUGGAAGUUGCAGUUGGAUAGGACUUUCUCAGCUGAACACUGUCAUCUGCCAGAGCUUCAGGCAAGAACCCAGAACAGAUGAAACCCCAGACAUGACAAAAUAAGCCAAAGAAUACCAGGCCAAGGUGUGAAAGGCCAGAUGAGAACAAGCAGCGUACACGAUUCUGUUGCCAACAGAUCUCCCCUAACAGUGUCGUGCACCAAAUUUCCACAGUGAAUGUCAGGAAAAAAUGGCAAUUGAGGUGGGUGGUCAAAAGAGAAGCACAGUCUAUGAUGAAGUCACCCCAGAGAAGUCCUUUUUCCGUUUUCUCCUGAGAAAUUACCAGAAGAAA
rnacentral:lncRNA from 1 species